ensembl:lncRNA
UGAGUUUCAGGUUUUUAUUUGGCCAGAAAUCCCAUGGGAAAGCUGUGGAGUCCUUCAAGCCUCCAGUCUUCACAAAAACAUUGUCCAGAAGAAAAGAAAUUCACAUCAGAAAGGCAGGAAUUUGCUGAAGAGGUUGCUGGGCUGCCUUCCUGGAUCCUCUCUCAGCAAGCGAAUUUCAUUCUGGAGAUAGAAGGUAAUUGCUUUUUUGGACACCACUGAAGUGUACCAGCCCUCAUUUCCUGAUUUUCCUCGCUGCUGUCUUUGAUGGUGACAGAACACUCGUGGCCACUGCUGUUCUGUGUUGCUUUCUGAAGGAAAAAACCCCAUGAGGAAACUACAUGCACUGGAGUUACCAUGGAAUGCAAGUCUCAACAGAAAUAUUACAGCUGGCUGAACACACUGCAAGAGCUGUGCUAACUAGAACUGUCUCAACACUGCGUGGGCUGAGCACUACACACGUCCAGGGCCAGUACCAGAUGAUGAUGAAGAGCGUGAAGCAGCUGUCAGAUAUCUUAGCCCUGCUUAUCUGGAUUAGAAAACUUAUUGGGAGGCCUACUUUGCUUCAAACCUUCCUGAUAGAAAAUGGGACAAUGGGAAAGAGGGGUUUUUUCACCUUGUUUACCCUAGAAAUGUGA